ACGGAAUCACUAAAUGCUUUCUAUUCGCUCGUCGUAUCGCCGCGAUAUUCGUGAAUUUGACAAUCGAGUGUAUGUGUGAAUCUUACGUGACAUAUCCCGAUUGUCGGCCUACAUCGUCGAGAACGUGGCUCGUCCCAACAAUACGAAACGUCGGCUAUGCAACUGACACAGACAAGGUACUCACCCAUCGGCUGUUAAUCGGUUCACUUUCAUGAAAAGUACGCACACCAAAAUGAAUAGGAGCAACAGAGCGCCGACGAUGACUCCGCACGCUAUAGCGAAAUACAGCAACAACUCAUCGGUUUCCUGGAACAUCGAACAGUCUGAUUCUCAUUUACAUUCGCCCUUGAGUUCUCGAUGACACAAUCGAUCAGAUCCUAUUGCGAUUCCGCGGGGAGCCGAAUAACUAAUCCAAAGAAUCCUGAACGAUGUCUCAGAGACGCCUUAAAGAAUGGACACACCGUCCGCGAUGGGAAAUGAGAAUGCAAGAAUGUAAAAGAAACUUCGUCGCGCAUGGUUGCUUUGCACUUCCUCGAACCAGCAUUUCGCAACCCGCAUUUAACGCGGAUGUCAACAGACCGAAAAGGGGCAAACAAAUAAGCCGAUCGGAAAAGGGGAACUCAACGGGCUCCGCGGACCGAUCUCUCGCAACAACGAAAAUGAGAAUCGAAAACUGAACCGAUGACCGGGGUCCUUGAGCGCGUGUCACACUGGUCACUCCCGCUCGUUCCUACGCGAAUUGCAUAGAAUUGUUCACGCUUCUCCCGGAUCGCUUUCAUCGCAUAGCUCUGUGAUUCUUCUUGCGCCAGGCCAACCUUGAAGGCACAUAGUUGCAUCUCUAAUGGCCGGCCGGCCAAGUGGUCGUCGUAAUUAGUGUUACAAAACAAGCAUUAUUACGGCCCCAUGAUUAGCCGCAAUCCUUGUGAAAGCGUUUCUACCAGUGCGAUCACCCGCGCGCCGAUCGUCGAUCUGAUUAAUUGCUUGCAAACUAGAAGUCGCGCGAAACGGCGUCACGUACAAUAAUGUUAUUCAUGAGGCCGAUGCGUCUGGGGUGGUUCGA